rnacentral:rRNA from 1 species
UACGGAGGGUGCAAGCGUUUGUCCGGAAUCACUGGGCGUAAAGGGCGCGCAGGCGGCUCUGAAAGUCAGAUGUGAAAGCCCCGGGCUUAACCUGGGAAUUGCAUUUGAUACUCUGGAGCUUGAGUACGGGAGAGGAGAGUGGAAUUCCCAGUGUAGAGGUGAAAUUCGUAGAUAUUGGGAAGAACACCGGUGGCGAAGGCGGCUCUCUGGACCGUAACUGACGCUGAGGCGGCGAAAAGCGUGGGGAGCAAACAGG